GAUGAACGCUAGCGGCAGGCUUAACACAUGCAAGUCGAGGGGUAGAAGUCUUCGGACUUUGAGACCGGCGCACGGGUGCGUAACGCGUAUGCAAUCUACCUUUUACAGAGGGAUAGCCCAGAGAAAUUUGGAUUAAUACCUCAUAGUAUAAUGACCUGGCAUCAGGAUGUUAUUAAAGUCACAAACGGUAAAAGAUGAGC
rnacentral:rRNA from 1 species